rnacentral:rRNA from 1 species
GUAACGGCGAGCGAAGUGGGAACAGCUCGAGCCUGAAAUCCCUGGCAGGUGCUGCCAGAGAAUUGUGGCCGGGAGAGGCGGCGUUGCCCCGACUGUCGCUGUCGAAGUUGACCUGGAAAGGCACGUCGGAGAGGGUGAGAGCCCCGUGCGCGACACCGACGGGAAGGGCCGCUACCGUCUUCUGAGAGUCGGGUUGUUUGGGAAUGCAGCCCAAAGUGGGUGGUAAACUCCAUCUAAAGCUAAAUACCGGCACGAGACCGAUAGCGAACAAGUACCAUGAGGGAAAGGUGAAAAGUACUUUGAAAAGAGAGUCAAAAAGACCGCGAAACCGUUAGGAGGGAAACGAAUGCAGCUGAAGUGGCUCCGUAUCAGGUUCAGGGGACGUCGGAGACGCUCUGGGCGGUUGGCGAGUGUCGCCGCCCUGAGAGGCCUCCGACCGCUCUGCACUCCUGUUGGGAGCCGGCCAACAGCAGUUGCUUCAGGCCCAGAAGGUCGGUCGGGAGGUGCCCCUGCACUCGUGCAGGGAGCGUAUAGCCGUUCGGUCCGGAGGUCCGGGAGCGACUGAGGAGAGUCGUGAAUUUUCACGCGUGCAGCGCAGGCCCUUCGGGGCCGGGCCGCCUCUGUCCGUUUGGGUCCCGCGGUGGGGACUGCGUGCAGUGUCUGCUGACGGUUCGCCUGCUCGGUCGGGGGGUCGGCCACGCCUUGCGCUCGGGCUGUUGGUGCUCAAAUGGCUGCAUCCGACCCGUCUUGAAACACGGACCAAGGAGUGCAACAUGCGCGCGAGUCUUUGGG